rnacentral:rRNA from 1 species
UACGUAGGGUGCGAGCGUUGUCCGGAAUUAUUGGGCGUAAAGGGCUCGUAGGCGGUCUGUCGCGUCGGGAGUGAAAACUCAGGGCUUAACCCUGAGCCUGCUUCCGAUACGGGCAAACUAGAGGUAUGCAGGGGAGAAUGGAAUUCCUGGUGUAGCGGUGAAAUGCGCAGAUAUCAGGAGGAACACCGGUGGCGAAGGCGGUUCUCUGGGCAUUACCUGACGCUGAGGAGCGAAAGUGUGGGGAGCGAACAGG